rnacentral:rRNA from 1 species
GGGUUGUGAGGUUAAGCGACUAAGCGUACACGGUGGAUGCCCUGGCAGUCAGAGGCGAUGAAGGACGUGCUAAUCUGCGAUAAGCGUCGGUGAGGUGAUAUGAACCGUUAUAACCGGCGAUUUCCGAAUGGGGAAACCCAGUGUGUUUCGACACACUAUCAUUAACUGAAUCCAUAGGUUAAUGAGGCGAACCGGGGGAACUGAAACAUCUAAGUACCCCGAGGAAAAGAAAUCAACCGAGAUUCCCCCAGUAGCGGCGAGCGAACGGGGAGGAGCCCAGAGCCUGAAUCAGUGUGUGUGUUAGUGGAAGCGUCUGGAAAGGCGUGCGAUACAGGGUGACAGCCCCGUACACAAAAAUGCACAUAUUGUGAGCUCGAUGAGUAGGGCGGGACACGUGGUAUCCUGUCUGAAUAUGGGGGGACCAUCCUCCAAGGCUAAAUACUCCUGACUGACCGAUAGUGAACCAGUACCGUGAGGGAAAGGCGAAAAGAACCCCGGCGAGGGGAGUGAAAAAGAACCUGAAACCGUGUACGUACAAGCAGUGGGAGCCUCUUAAUGGGGUGACUGCGUACCUUUUGUAUAAUGGGUCAGCGACUUAUAUUCUGUAGCAAGGUUAACCGAAUAGGGGAGCCGAAGGGAAACCGAGUCUUAACUGGGCGUUAAGUUGCAGGGUAUAGACCCGAAACCCGGUGAUCUAGCCAUGGGCAGGUUGAAGGUUGGGUAACACUAACUGGAGGACCGAACCGACUAAUGUUGAAAAAUUAGCGGAUGACUUGUGGCUGGGGGUGAAAGGCCAAUCAAACCGGGAGAUAGCUGGUUCUCCCCGAAAGCUAUUUAGGUAGCGCCUCGUGAAUUCAUCUCCGGGGGUAGAGCACUGUUUCGGCAAGGGGGUCAUCCCGACUUACCAACCCGAUGCAAACUGCGAAUACCGGAGAAUGUUAUCACGGGAGACACACGGCGGGUGCUAACGUCCGUCGUGAAGAGGGAAACAACCCAGACCGCCAGCUAAGGUCCCAAAGUCAUGGUUAAGUGGGAAACGAUGUGGGAAGGCCCAGACAGCCAGGAUGUUGGCUUAGAAGCAGCCAUCAUUUAAAGAAAGCGUAAUAGCUCACUGGUCGAGUCGGCCUGCGCGGAAGAUGUAACGGGGCUAAACCAUGCACCGAAGCUGCGGCAGCGACACUAUGUGUUGUUGGGUAGGGGAGCGUUCUGUAAGCCUGUGAAGGUGGCCUGUGAGGGUUGCUGGAGGUAUCAGAAGUGCGAAUGCUGACAUAAGUAACGAUAAAGCGGGUGAAAAGCCCGCUCGCCGGAAGACCAAGGGUUCCUGUCCAACGUUAAUCGGGGCAGGGUGAGUCGACCCCUAAGGCGAGGCCGAAAGGCGUAGUCGAUGGGAAACAGGUUAAUAUUCCUGUACUUGGUGUUACUGCGAAGGGGGGACGGAGAAGGCUAUGUUGGCCGGGCGACGGUUGUCCCGGUUUAAGCGUGUAGGCUGGUUUUCCAGGCAAAUCCGGAAAACCAAGGCUGAGGCGUGAUGACGAGGCACUACGGUGCUGAAGCGACAAAUGCCCUGCUUCCAGGAAAAGCCUCUAAGCAUCAGGUAACAUCAAAUCGUACCCCAAACCGACACAGGUGGUCAGGUAGAGAAUACCAAGGCGCUUGAGAGAACUCGGGUGAAGGAACUAGGCAAAAUGGUGCCGUAACUUCGGGAGAAGGCACGCUGAUAUGUAGGUGAAGCGACUUGCUCGUGGAGCUGAAAUCAGUCGAAGAUACCAGCUGGCUGCAACUGUUUAUUAAAAACACAGCACUGUGCAAACACGAAAGUGGACGUAUACGGUGUGACGCCUGCCCGGUGCCGGAAGGUUAAUUGAUGGGGUUAGCGGUAACGCGAAGCUCUUGAUCGAAGCCCCGGUAAACGGCGGCCGUAACUAUAACGGUCCUAAGGUAGCGAAAUUCCUUGUCGGGUAAGUUCCGACCUGCACGAAUGGCGUAAUGAUGGCCAGGCUGUCUCCACCCGAGACUCAGUGAAAUUGAACUCGCUGUGAAGAUGCAGUGUACCCGCGGCAAGACGGAAAGACCCCGUGAACCUUUACUAUAGCUUGACACUGAACAUUGAGCCUUGAUGUGUAGGAUAGGUGGGAGGCUUUGAAGUGUGGACGCCAGUCUGCAUGGAGCCGACCUUGAAAUACCACCCUUUAAUGUUUGAUGUUCUAACGUUGGCCCGUAAUCCGGGUUGCGGACAGUGUCUGGUGGGUAGUUUGACUGGGGCGGUCUCCUCCUAAAGAGUAACGGAGGAGCACGAAGGUUGGCUAAUCCUGGUCGGACAUCAGGAGGUUAGUGCAAUGGCAUAAGCCAGCUUGACUGCGAGCGUGACGGCGCGAGCAGGUGCGAAAGCAGGUCAUAGUGAUCCGGUGGUUCUGAAUGGAAGGGCCAUCGCUCAACGGAUAAAAGGUACUCCGGGGAUAACAGGCUGAUACCGCCCAAGAGUUCAUAUCGACGGCGGUGUUUGGCACCUCGAUGUCGGCUCAUCACAUCCUGGGGCUGAAGUAGGUCCCAAGGGUAUGGCUGUUCGCCAUUUAAAGUGGUACGCGAGCUGGGUUUAGAACGUCGUGAGACAGUUCGGUCCCUAUCUGCCGUGGGCGCUGGAGAACUGAGGGGGGCUGCUCCUAGUACGAGAGGACCGGAGUGGACGCAUCACUGGUGUUCGGGUUGUCAUGCCAAUGGCACUGCCCGGUAGCUAAAUGCGGAAGAGAUAAGUGCUGAAAGCAUCUAAGCACGAAACUUGCCCCGAGAUGAGUUCUCCCUGACUCCUUGAGGGUCCUGAAGGAACGUUGAAGACGACGACGU